rnacentral:rRNA from 1 species
UACGUAGGGACCGAGCGUUGUCCGGAAUUAUUGGGCGUAAAGAGCUCGUAGGCGGCUUGUCACGUCGGGUGUGAAAGCCCGGGGCUUAACCCCGGGUCUGCAUUCGAUACGGGCUAGCUAGAGUGUGGUAGGGGAGAUCGGAAUUCCUGGUGUAGCGGUGAAAUGCGUAGAUAUCGGGAGGAACACCUGUGGCGAAGGCGGCCCCCUGGUUGGAUACUGACGCUGAGACGCGAAAGCGUGGGGAGCAAACAGG